UAAGGAAUAUUGGUCAAUGGACGCAAGUCUGAACCAGCCAUGCCGCGUGAAGGAUGAAGGUCCUCUGGAUUGUAAACUUCUUUUAUCUGGGACGAAAACGGGAUUUUUAUCUCAAUUGACGGUACCAGAGGAAUAAGCACCGGCUAACUCCGUGCCAGCAGCCGCGGUAAUACGGAGGGUGCGAGCGUUAUCCGGAUUUACUGGGUUUAAAGGGUGCGUAGGUGGGCUUAUAAGUCAGUGGUGAAAUCUCCGAGCUUAACUUGGAAACUGCCGUUGAUACUAUAGGUCUUCAAUUAUCUGGAGGUAAGCGGGAUAUGUCAUGUAGCGGUGAAAUGCUUAGAUAUGACAUAGAACACCAAUUGCGAAGGCAGCUUACUACAUAUAAAUUGACGCUGAGGCACGAAAGCGUGGGGAUCAAACA
rnacentral:rRNA from 1 species